CCAGCACUUGGGAGGCCAAAGCGGAAGGAUUGCCUGAGGUCAGGACUGGGCUAGGGGGGGAAGAACACUGGCAAAUCUCUGUCGUGGCGGUGAAGUGGGCUUUGUGUGUCUGUGUGUGUGUGUGUGUGUGUUGCAUGUAGGCAACUGGGGAUGAAAAAAUCAGUUUUAACCUGUCACCCAGCUGAGGCUCUCUAGGCUACUUGGAGCUUCCUGGAAUUUCCUUUGUGUCUAAUUGCAAUUAGCACUGUUAUAUAUUUUCGAUUUUACCUAUAUGUUCUACUUUUGUAAGCAUAAAAAAUAAAACUGGCUCUUCUUUUAAAAGCUUCCAGGACCCUCCAAUUUGUGAGAUCAUUGCUGUUGUCUCUCCUCCAGUAAAGCAGGUAAUCAAGGACUGCCCAGAGCUGGUGACCCCAUUCUGCAC
rnacentral:lncRNA from 1 species